UGGGGAAUAUUGCACAAUGGGCGCAAGCCUGAUGCAGCCAUGCCGCGUGUGUGAAGAAGGCCUUCGGGUUGUAAAGCACUUUCAGCGAGGAGGAAGGUGGUGAGCUUAAUACGCUCAUCAAUUGACGUUACUCGCAGAAGAAGCACCGGCUAACUCCGUGCCAGCAGCCGCGGUAAUACGGAGGGUGCAAGCGUUAAUCGGAAUUACUGGGCGUAAAGCGCACGCAGGCGGUUUGUUAAGUCAGAUGUGAAAUCCCCGGGCUCAACCUGGGAACUGCAUUUGAAACUGGCAAGCUAGAGUCUCGUAGAGGGGGGUAGAAUUCCAGGUGUAGCGGUGAAAUGCGUAGAGAUCUGGAGGAAUACCGGUGGCGAACGGCGGCCCCCUGGACGAAGACUGACGCUCAGGUGCGAAAGCGUGGGGCAGCAAACAGGAUUAGAUACCCUGGUAGUCCACGCUGUAAAACGAUGUCGAUUUUGGAGGUUGUGCCCUUGAGGCGUGGCUUCCGGAGCUAACGCGUUAAAUCGACCGCCUGGGGAGUACGGCCGCAAGGUUAAAACUUAAAUGAAUUGAC
rnacentral:rRNA from 1 species